GAGACUGCGCUGCUCCAGCCCGGGAAAAGUUCUAGAAUAGAGGCGCGGCGCAAGUCAGGGGGCCGCCUUGGAAACCGCAGCAAGGGCUCCUUGUGGGCUCCAGGCUGUUGGAGAGUGAGGGAGCCUCCUCCCCUUUCCUUCCCGUGGAGUAAACAGAGCUUGGCAGGGCUGGAGGCUUUCUUCCUUUUAAAAAGUGCCAUUCUGAACAACGAUACAAAGUGAAAAAAUAAAUUUUUUAAAAAAGAAAGGGAAAAACUACAAUUUGACCAUUCUGACCAGCCUCCUUGUUCCAACUGGCCUCUUGAUUUGUAUAAAGAUAAUGGGGUCCGGCGGCCCCCUUGAUGCAUGAAUUGCACGCUGGGCAUAAUGAACUUAUUGUGCGAAAGCACUUUGGACUUCGGACUGUGUUCCUAUGUCAGAAUUUUACUGUGGUUUGUAAGAUAAACUGGAAGGAAACAAACUCGUGGUUAACUCUUGUCAAUACGUGUCUUGAACCAAGCAAAGUGACAUUUCCUACCUGUGGCUUUGACUUUAAGCUGCACAAAAGCUCACACAUACAGUCGGCUCAGGCAGACGGCCCAAGACAAGCCUGUGCCAAAGAAAUGCUGAUUUAGUCUGACCCAGACAAUCUCUACUCCCACAUGUCACUUCUCUGCAGAACUCUUACUAGUAUGGCAAAUACUUUAAAAAUCAUACAAUAAAAGAAGGCAAAACCUCAGUAAUUUGAGGUUCACUUUUAAUAAACUCUUUCCAUGCAUUAAAAUAAAUUGAGGCCCUGAGCUCUGGCGAAAUGUUUCCGGGUUUUUAAUUCCCACCGCCCCCCCACCCCGGAGGCAUAAAUAGCCACAUACGCAAUUCAAAGUACUCUAUUUGAACUAGUAUAGGAAAGAUGUUUUCUAUAGAUAUUGCAGAUAAAUUUGCAAUGACUUAAAUAUUUAUCUGCUAAAGUUGCUGAGUGCCUCCACAACAAAACCGAACUCAUUUUUUGUGCACGAUGGGCAUCUGAAUGCUACCUGAUGGUGAUGAUAUAGAAAUACUAAUUGCUAAGUAAAAGUGGUAAGUGAUGUGAUCUACAGAUUAUGUAAUGUAGUUCAUUUCCCCCAAAAUGUAAACUAUAUUUAGAAAUAUUCAAAUGUGACAUUAUUACCCUAUACAGGAUGUCUUAUCUCAGCAUCAAGGGCGUCUGUAGAGCUGCUGGAGGAGGCUCUUUAGAUUACGCAAUCUAACUUCUGACAGCCCAUUCAAAGGAUGAGAACCGGUGCCUUGAAGCUCUCAAUUUAAACUAGGAAUCCUGUAGUCUAGUCUCUAGACUUAUCUGACCUAGGCAGAAAUCAUCUCCUAGAGGCUUUUCAUGGCUGAUUUUGUGAUGUUUUACUUGCACUGAAGAUUUAUUAUUCCAUGUUUUGAGUUAGUGUUAUACAGUGCCAUUCUAUAUAUUUUCCAAAUAAAUGUUUGUCUUACAGAAGAAACUGUUUAUACCAUUCUAAUAGGGUUGUUUAAUAAGGAAAUUUUACUCAGUUGGGUUUUGGAUUAAAAAUAAAAGAACAGCUUUUAAGAUACAAUGUCUAAAUGAUUCUCAAUAAUGAUCUGUCUAUGGUAUAGUUACUUUUUGUCCUAAAAUACCUUUUCUGUGGGUUGUAUGGAUUGUUUUAUGUUGUGCCAGGCAGAUGUGCAUAAUUUUCUGAUUAAAACCAGUGCAAAUACAGACUUCAUAUUCUAUAAUCUUUUAAAGAGACAAGUUACACUUCAAAUCAAACAAUCAGAGAGCUGUUUCAAAUCAAGCAUUUUAAGUUAAGUUGUAUUGACAUGGGGAGGGAGCAGAUGACACACCUAAUGAGUUAAAACAAUGUUCACUGUUAAAUUAGGUAUAAAUUAAUGUAAUAACUAGGGGUAGUGUGGGUAUCCCUGACAAAUUAUGGAUUUAUCUGAGGAUUAAUGGAGGAAUCCACAGAUAAUCCAUAAAUCUACCCAUUUUCUAUCUUCUAACCGCUUAGCGAGUAAUUUAUAAAUUGUCUAUUUGUGUGCUUUUUAAGUUACAGUGAGGGGUUCAGACAUAUUAAGGAAAAUGCAGGCUGUCAAGAGAAACAGCAACAAGGGAUCUAUAGAGUUUGUAAUCUGGAAAGUCACACCCGUAAUUUUUAUUUGAUUGUAGUACCAUUGCUGUCAGAGGCCUAACCAGUGGCACUGAAGGAGUUAAAACAGUCCCCACCCCCACUCCCGAUUUCUAGAACCCCACGAUAAAUUGGGUAAAUAUGUAUUCCAUUCAUUGGUGCAUCUGACCUUGGUCUGUGACAGAGGAAAGGCGUGUCUUCUCAUACUGUUCCCUAUGAACAAAAGGCAAGCAAAUGAGGGUGACUCAGGACUUCUCAUGGCCUACACACAACUGAACAUUUUUCUGAAUGAUUCCACGUAUACACUUAGGAAUCAGGAAGAGAAACAUUUUACUCUUCACUAACCAAAUAAAACCAUCUAUAAAUCAUAUGCAAAACAACUUUUGAGUAAAGAGGGACUUAAAAGUCUAGGAAUUAAAAAAGGAUUUCCAUAGUUUCCUUUUAACUCUCCCCCAACUCCCCUUUGGGGAAUAAACAAAGACAUCUGCCACAUCAAGAGUCUGGUUUGUUUUCUUAACUGAAAACGAAAUGCAGUCAUUAAAGUAUAUCUUUGGGAAGAGGUUUUGAAAUGUUGAGAAUUACUUCUACAAGCUGCACUAUUUUCAAUUUCACUAAAAAUAAAAUUUAGCAUUUUUGUUACAAAAACAUAGUUCAUCCUAUUUCUUUUAACCUAGUUAUUACAUGAAAAAUUGUUUAUCAUCUGUAACUUGCUAAGAAUAUGGUUUCUUGAAAACCUUAAAUGGACUAAUAAUGAAAAACUAUUAAAAUAUAUAUAGUGAUGGGCCCCUCCUAGUUACCAGACCACCCUAGUGUAAAUAUAUUCAAGUACACAUUCACUGUUGCUGUUUAAUUUAAAACAUAUAGUAACUCUAUGUAUAUCCUAGCCUCCAACUCUUUAUGAGUUUCACAACUUCCUUUCAUAGAGAAGUCUGCCAAGCCAUUAAUCAAUAAAAAGAGUAAAAGCUGCAACAUCUAGGAAAUUUCUUAUUAUAUGAGAGUAGCCAGUAAAAUGUGUCUCAGUGCUUUCUACCUUUUAUCUCUAUUUAUAAAUUUAAGUUUCAGGAUAUCAAUAAAGCUCAUACAUGGCUUUGGCUUUUUUCAUUCCUAAGCUUUCCAAAGUAUAAGGCUUUUUUUUUUUUUAAAUCCCUUUUGUCUUUAGCGCAUUUCCUAUGGCCCAACGUAGCUGUUUUAUUCCAAAGCUUUUCAAAGAGCAGCUCCAGGUCUUGAGAGUCUUUCCAGUGUCGUCACUAUCUUCUCUUUCCAAUCUACCAUUGCAGAAUGGCUGGUUCUGCUGCUAGUUGAAAAAUAAACAAAUGCUUUCUAGCCGUACUUUGUUCAGCUCUUUUAUCUGUGUCCCCUAUCCAGUUGCCCUUUCCGCAGUCCCUGGCACUUCUAUUUUAUACCAUCAGUUGCCUUUUUGUUCCAUGUCUUUUAUCUCCUGAAGUUCAGGCAAACCCCAACCCCAAACCCACACAUCCUUUAGUCACAUUGCCAUUAGUGAUUAAAACAAUAGCCAUUCUAAGCUUGCUUUAGAAAAUUAAAAAAGGCCUCAGAAAAUGUUCAGUGCUCCCAAUUUUAUUUUUAUUUAAUGCUAAAAGUUAAAGAAAA
rnacentral:lncRNA from 1 species